ensembl:lncRNA
UUUUGGCUGUGCUGGGUCUUUGCUGUGUGAGUUUUUCUCUAGUUGUGGUGCGUGCACUUCUCACUGCAGUGAUUUCUUUUGUUGCGAAGCACUGGUUCUCAGGUGUGCACGCAGGCUCACUAGCUGCAGUCCCCGGGCACUCUAGCACAGGCGCAGUAGUUGUGCACAGAUUUAGCCGCUCCGAGGCAUGUGGGAUCUUCCCGGACCAGAGAUCAAACCCAUGUCACCUGCAUUGGCAGACUCUUCACCACUGAGCCACCAGGGAAACCUUGAAUUUAUUUACACAUUUAAAAGGAAUGUCACUUGUUAGCUGGCUAUCAGGAUUCAGAAGUGAAAAAGUUAUGAUUCAUGUCUUUGGUGAGCCCCCAGAAUCCCACAGCCCUGCCUGACAUUUUUUAAUCUUGACUUUUAAUCCAUGGAGUCCAUGUGUUUAUUCCUUCAGUAUACAUUUAUUGAAUUCUUAUGGAUGUGUACUGUGCUAGGCUGUGGGAUACGCAUUUUUACACAGUUCCCUUUCUUCAGGAUGCUCACAUUCCGGGAAGGGACCUAGCAGGUGUGAUUACUGUUGUAAUACAGGGCUGCAAAGUCCAGUGUGCUCGGAGCACUUGAUAACCAGGCCAGAGCUGGGAGUAGGGCUGGGGGCAGUAGGAGUGCACCACGGAAGGCCUCUGCGCUGGUGAGGCAGAGCUUCUCCAGGAGCAUGGAGGGUGCAGGGGGCGGGUACAGCCCAGGAGAAGAGGUAGCUUAUACAGAAGGCGGAAAUGACCCAACUCUGGUGGUGGUUCCUCCCACAUGUGACUGGAAAGAUCAGCAGGAGCUCAUCACAAAUUAAGAUAGGAGGUAGAUGCCCAUCACAAUCGGAGUUCAUUCCCUACAGGCAGGCAGGAACCUGGGCGGCCAGUUCAGACAGUGUCGCGCCAGUGCCUGAAGGGAGGUUGCCGUAGGCCCUAGACCGAAGCUGAAAGAACUACAAUGAAGGCUCGGUUCCAUGCGGACGAAGCAACUGUGAUUCUGUUGCCUGUUAAAAGAAGGACCUUCUCUGCCCAGGUUACUGAGAAAGAGGGCGGAACAAAGACCGCUGUCUUUCCCCAGUGGGGGACUAACUGAGCCCCAGCCGCUCUAAAACUGACACCAGCCCUUCCCUCCUCCGCUCUUCCACAGCCUUUUAUUUAUUGUUUAC